rnacentral:rRNA from 11 species
AGUGACUCAUUCUCUCCCCUAAAGGCACCAGCUCUUAUCUGAUCUUGGAAGCUAAGUAGAAUGAGUACUAGGUUAGUAACUGAAUGGGAGACCACCAAUCAAUACCAGGUGCUGUAACUA